rnacentral:lncRNA from 1 species
CGCUCUCUGGUCUCCCGAUUUUGCUUCAUGAAUUUUUAAGAGCUAGAUGGAGUUGGAUGCAGUCUUGUAAAAUCUAGGUGAAGUAGGGUUUGGCUCUUCAGAUGGCUAAGGCGAGGCAAGGUGGAAGAAGCAGCUGCUUCUUGGAUAGAAGGAGUUGGAUGCAGUCAUGUAAAAUCUAGGUGAAGUAGGGUUUGGCUCUUCAGAUGGCUAAGGCGAGGCAAGGUGGAAGAAGCAGCUGCUUCUUGGAUAGAAGGAGUUGGAUGCAGUCAUGUAAAAUCUAGGUGAAGUAGGGUUUGGCUCUUCAGAUGGCUAAGGCGAGG